CCUACGGGUGGCAGCAGUGAGGAAUAUUGGUCAAUGGCCGCAGGGCUGAACCAGCCAAGUCGCGUGAGGGAUGACGGUCCUAUGGAUUGUAAACCUCUUUUGUCAGGGAGCAAAGGGCGCCACGUGUGGCGUUUUGCGAGUACCUGAAGAAAAAGCAUCGGCUAACUCCGUGCCAGCAGCCGCGGUAAUACGGAGGAUGCGAGCGUUAUCCGGAUUUAUUGGGUUUAAAGGGUGCGCAGGCGGAAUGUCAAGUCAGCGGUAAAAUUUCGGGGCUCAACCCUGUCGAGCCGUCGGAACUGGCAGUCUUGAGUGGGCGAGAAGUAUGCGGAAUGCGUGGUGUAGCGGUGAAAUGCAUAGAUAUCACGCAGAACGCCGAUUGCGAAGGCAGCAUACCGGCGCCCGACUGACGCUGAGGCACGAAAGCGUGGGGAUCGAACAGGAUUAGAUACCCUUGUAGUC
rnacentral:rRNA from 1 species